AGUGGACGGUUCGAGCGGCGCACAGACGACUGUCUCUCCCCGAUCCCUUUCUCUCCUUCAUCUCUCCUGUUCGUUGUCAAAACAGAAAUCCCCCACAUCUGCACCCAAAUCCCAUCGAUCAGCGGCAAAGAAGGAAGGGCACGGCUGGCGGGGAAUCGCCGCCAUGACUGCGUGCAAAGGGGAGAUUGGUGCAGUAGCGGCCAGGCGAAGAGAUCUCUUUGUGGAUCUGGCAACUGUGCGGGCAGUGACAAAAAAGACUAGAUCGGCAAGGCGGGAUGGACACGGUGAGGCGCCACCAUCCGGCGAUGGGCGGCGGCUGCGGGGGCCCGACGUCGUUGCGGUGCUCCAGCUCGCCGGCGCAGGAGUUCGCGGGGCUGGCGUCCGUGUUCCGGCGGCGGCUGGUGGUGGGGACGACUAUGGUGGCGGCCGACUUUGGGGCGUCAUCAGGCUGUCCCCAGAGCUCGGGCGCUCGCUGAGGCUCGACGUGCCUGGACUCCUCCAUCUGCGGCUUCACACGAUGCCUGGACUCCUUCAUUGAUUCGGUAAUUUGAUGACCAACAACAGCAGCCCCCUUUGGUAGCUUAGCUUCCUUCUCCUACUUUUUUUUAUCAAUUCUUGGUUGAACAAACAGACUACUACUGCUCAACGUUUACGCAUUAACAGCUGAUUUCUGUCAUUCCAUUCUCCUCAAGGGAUUGAGUUGCUCUUUCAGAUCCGUCACGCCAUUUUGCUAAAUUUUUCAGAGUUCAAAGCUUUUGGAUUCUAGCCAAACACUAUACUACUGAGGUAAUAUCAUGCAAAAAAGAAGCACUUCAGCCACAACUCAUUUAGGGACCAGCCGAAAAUGUUGCACACACACAUAUUCGCGCGUGGCCGCAGAGUUGCACGCUCUAGUUGGUAUAGUCGCACACGCUUGGUCGCGUAGUUGCACACUCUUUGGCACAUGCCCGGCCGCGUAGUCGCACAUGCAUGCCCGCAGAGUUGCACACUCUUGCCGGUAUAGAAGCACAUGCCCGGCCGUGGAGUUGCACGCUCUUGUUCGAGUAGUCACGCAUGCACUCCUGCGGAGUUGCACACUCUUGUCGACUCUUGUCGGCAUAGGAGCACACGCCCGGCCGCAGAGUUGCACACUCUCGUCCGCGUACGUAGUCGCACACACACGAUCACGGAGGUGCACACUCACUUCCAAGCAGUCGCACACGCACGGCCACAGAGGUGCACACGUGUGUCGGCACAGUCAUGUGUGCGUGUGGUUCUUUGGUUGCACACUCAAGUGUGCCCUGUUUUCAAGUGUAUACGUGAGGAGUUUGUAGAUCUAAACAGUUCAUAUCCUAGUUGGCUUUGCCACGGUUAUGCAGUUUCACAGGGAAUGGCUAUCGGCUAGUUUAGUUUUGGCUCCAGUGCCUACGUCAUCUUCAGGCAGUGUGUAUGUUGAUUUUUUUUUUGGUUGCACACUAAUAUCUGCCCAGUUGGCCAUACAGUGCAUCAAGUUGCACACAAUUUUGUUUUGUUUGGUAGGUGUGCUUUGAAAAAUCAGCAUGAGUUGCUUACCUCAUGGCACUUUUUUGAUAUCAAUUGUUCUUGCUCCAUUUUUCUUUAUACAUUUGGUUGCUACGACUAAUUUGUUUGUUCGCUUUUUUUAGCAGACCAAAAAUGGUUGUAGAAGGAGAUGUGGCUCCUAGUGAAGGAUAGGCAUGCUCGCUUUUUCGUCGUUUUUCAUUUAUCCUUGUAGCAGUUUUGUUUUCAAUUAUAAUAACUAUUAUUUUGGGGUUUUCCUACCAUGUUCUAUGUUUUGUUUGUUUUAUGCAGGGGUCUGCAAACCGUUCUUCUCGGCAGAAUUCGAAACGGCAUGCUGAUCGGCAGUCUCGUCGUGUUGAUAUCGAUAGGGAGGUAGAGGAUGAUGAGGUUGGUGACCAAUUCUGCAUUGUGAAACGAUGGAAAUGGAAGGCGGCCGCGCUGGUGGGAGUUGUGUAUGAAGAUGGCACAUCGUUUGCAACAGUUGUUGAGGUUUUACAGGUUAUGGGGGUAGAGGAGCUGCUAUAGAUUUGUGCACACAAUUCUCAGCUACAAAGUCACAUAUACUACUGUGUGGAAAGAUCAAAGGAAAAAAACACUUCCAAACCAGAUUCUUGUCCAGUAGGUAGUUAUCUUUUCAUAGUAGCUACAACACUUUUUUUUGCUACAUGUACAUCUGUUCUUCUGCAUUAUGUGUGAAUAAGAUUCUCUAUGUGCACUCUCCUAUAUUUUUGCACAUUUUCUGCGUUUUGUUACACACAUGUUGUAAAAGUUGGCUUGUCCCAUGAUGUAGUUGCACGAAAAUCAGUUAAAAGAGCACAAGUACCAGAUCUCCCCGUUUUAAUCUCUGUUUAUGCUAUCUUCAACAACUAUGGAGAAGCUACUUUUGCAAAGAGAAAUUUGGUGAGGGAGAAAGGGAAAGGCAAGGAGGAAGGACCUGAACAGGAGGAGAAAGGAUCACCUCUUUUUCCACCCUUGCUGGUGCCUACUGCCUGCUCUAGCAAUGGAGAUCCAGACAUGAAAACCCCUUUGUUUCAUGGGUAAGAAGGUGGGGCAGGCAGAGGCGUGGGGAAAAAGAAGUUGGUGGUCAGAGGGGCGUGAGAGCUUCAGGAGGGGAGGGAAGGGCAUGUGAUGGCCUGGGGACCACGUCCCCUGUUGCUACCGGGGAAGGGCUUUCCUUUUCUGAGCAGCCGGCCGCUCCCUAGUCGCUCCCUUUUACUAGAUCUGGAGAUUUUCUGCAGCUAAAAAAGUCAUCAAGGAAGCAAAACAAAGAUUUUUUAGAAAAAAAGAUUGUGUGUGUGUGCUUUUUUCUUUAGAAACAAAAAAAAAUAUUGUGUAGUACGUCAGACAACCUCUAGGCUACCUUGCACAGGCA